rnacentral:tRNA from 2 species
GGUACCUUAGCUCAGUUGGUAGAGCAAUGGACUGAAAAUCCAUGUGUCCCUGGUUCGAUUCCUGGAGGUACCACCA